rnacentral:rRNA from 1 species
CACGUAGGGGGCAAGCGUUGUCCGGAUUUAUUGGGCGUAAAGAGCUCGUAGGUGGUUCGGUAAGUCGGGUGUUAAACCCCCAGGCUCAACCUGGGACGCCACGUCGAUACUGCUGUGACUAGAGUCCGGUAGGGGAGCGUGGAAUUCCUGGUGUAGCGGUGAAAUGCGCAGAUAAUCAGGAGGAACACCAGCGGCGAAGGCGGCGCUCUGGGCCGGUACUGACACUGAGGAGCGAAGCGUGGUAGCAAACAGGA